UACGUAGGGGGGCGAGCGUUGUCCGGAAUUAUUGGGCGUAAAGAGCGUGUAGGCGGUUCGGUAAGUCUGCCGUGAAAACCUGAGGCUCAACCUCGGGCGUGCGGUGGAUACUGCCGGGCUAGAGGACGGUAGAGGCGAGUGGAAUUCCCGGUGUAGCGGUGAAAUGCGCAGAUAUCAGGAGGAACACCGGUGGCGAAGGCGGGUCUCUGGGCCGAUACUGACGCUGAGGAGCGAAAGCGUGGGGAGCGAACAGG
rnacentral:rRNA from 1 species